AUGCAGUCGAAACAAGCUGAUGUU
rnacentral:siRNA from 1 species